CUCGUAAUUACAGUUAAAUUUACAUUAAAUACUAGCUUCAAUGACAGCCCCAUUUUAUGCAUGCGCACUAAAAUCCAAUACUGCGCAUGCUAGUCAAGCAUCCAAUACGUAUUGGAUCUGAUCCAGUUACGUCAUCAUGCUACAGGCUGCAAUGAGGACAUCUUGGAUGAUGGAUCAGAGUGCUGCGCUCCCGCCUGACUGUGUUUGAUGACACAGUCGGCCAGGCUCGCGCUCCCUCGCAGUUCGGGUCACGCGUCCGCUGAGGCAGCGGCUCAGAUCGCAGAGAUUAAAGUUCUCCGUCACUAAGAUGGAUUUCCGUUAAUUGAAGCGAGUCUAUACAACGGAUUUCCGUCAAUUGGGAAAAAAAUGGGAAAAGAAACAUGUAGCACAUUGUUUUGCCAGCACACCGAAAAUUAUCCCCACCACGCAUGGGCGUCAGUAGAAAGAUGUUUUUAAUGACUUUUCACACCAAUUUGGAGAUGUAAUGGAGUCACAGGACUACUGCCUACCAUAAUAUUACAGACCCAUACCAGCCAUUACCAGCCCAAUUCCAAAGCAAUACAUACAUGUUUGAGCAGGAAAAACACACUUUGGAGAAGGUGAUGAGUUCUGCAAGUACAGGAAAAAGGCAGAUCUUCUUGGCUGAAAAAGAAACUUUUUUUUCUUCUUCUUCUUUGUUUGUUUCUACAGAUGGACACAGAGACUUCAGACUUAAGUUCACUCAAAAAAAUAGGGAUGGUAUUGUUUACAUUUUAUCACUAUUGAUACCAAUACUGCUUAUCGAUACCGGUACAGAUACGGUUAUCAAUACUAUUUGGUGCAAUAAGAUGAUUUGAAAAGUUAUUUUAAUACUGCUGAAUUUUUAGUAACUGUAUUAAAAUUCUUCAGUCAAGAGCAGUGAGUUAUUUUUCUCUUUGUGUUUUAUUUUAUUAACACUGAAUGAAUAGUUCACCUAAAAAUUAAAAUUUUGUCAUUUACUCACUCUGAAGUUGUUUAAAC